rnacentral:rRNA from 1 species
AUGCUCUUGUCGUUUCAUCAACUCAGACCUGAAUUAUCGUGUCUGGCAAAGGUAAAAUUAUUUAUCUGGCGAACGUUGCAUGAAACUCUACCGUGUCGUGUUACACUUGCCAAUAGACAUAUGAAAAUUUCGCCCCUUUGUCCAUCAUGCUCGAAUGGGCAAGAAGAUACAAAACACAUCUUGUUUCUGUGUGAGAAGGAAAAAGAGGUUUGGGGUAAGCUGGGGAUGUACGAGGUAAUUAAGAAAGCUUGUGUUAUUGAUCGUGCGGGUGAGGCGGUUCUUGAAUUCUUACUUCUUAUGCCGCACCAAGAACUAUCUAUAUUAGGUUGCCAGGAUGCAAGUGAAUUAAUCGCGAUAACCGCUUGGUAUUUAUGG